rnacentral:misc_RNA from 1 species
UACGUAGGGGGCGAGCGUUGUCCGGAUUUACUGGGCGUAAAGCGCGUGUAGGUGGGGUGGCAAGUCGGACGUGAAAGGCUUCGGCUCAACCGGAGACGGUCGUUCGAAACUGUUGCUCUUGAGGGUCGAAGAGGAGAGUGGAAUUCCCGGUGUAGCGGUGAAAUGCGUAGAGAUCGGGAGGAACACCCGUGGCGAAGGCGGCUCUCUGGUCGACCCCUGACGCUGAGGCGCGAAAGCGUGGGGAGCAGACAGG